GACGAACGCUGGCGGCGUGCUUAACACAUGCAAGUCGAACGGAAAGGCCCUGCUUUUGUGGGGUUCUCGAGUGGCGAACGGGUGAGUAACACGUGAGUAACCUGCCCUUGACUUUGGGAUAACUUCAGGAAACUGGGGCUAAUACCGGAUAGGAGCUCCUGCUGCAUGGUGGGGGUUGGAACGUUUCGGCGGUUGGGGAUGGACUCGCGGCUUAUCAGCUUGUUGGUGGUGUAGUGGCUUACCAAGGCUUUGACGGGUAGCCGGCCUGAGAGGGUGACCGGCCACAUUGGGACUGAGAUAGGGCCCAGACGCCUACGGGAGGCAGCAGUGGGGAAUAUUGCACAAUGGGCGGAAGCCUGAUGCAGCAACGCCGCGUGCGGGAUGACGGCCUUCGGGUUGUAAACCGCUUUCGCCUGUGACGAAGCGUGAGUGACGGUAAUGGGUAAAGAAGCACCGGCUAACUACGUG
rnacentral:rRNA from 1 species